ACGAAGGAGAGGAAGAAGAAGAAAGAAAUUGGAAGCGAAAAACAACGGUUUCUUUCUUCCCUCUGUCUCUGGAGUGUAGUGCAACAUCUUUCAACUUUCACUCUCAAUUUGCUGCCGAUUUUGGGGUUCUUUAGUUUUUACUCAGUAAACUCCAAUAUGCAUAAACUGGAGGGAAGUCGUGGGAUCAAAGUCUUGCAGUUCAUGUCGAUAACUAAAUCGAGUGAAGAAAUUUCUAUUGAAGCAUUGAAGGCAAGUGGUUGGAAUCUUAAAGAAGCUGUUGAUGUUUUCUUUCCCCGGAAGCUUUAUAAAAGAU